AAUUCUCAACCCCUCUCGAUUUGCUUCGAGAGGGCGCUUGGAUGGUGGAGGCUGCCGGAGACCUGGAUUCGUUCAGGACUCGGGCUCCUCUGAAAUGAAUCGGCUUGCGGUCGACCCUUCGACUUUGCAUGACAAGGCCUUUGGCGUGAUAAUGAUCGCCGUUCGCCGAAGUGCACGACAGAAAACGGUCCCGCGCCUCUAAUGCGUCGACGCCUUCCGGGCGUCUUCCUCAUUGAC
rnacentral:misc_RNA from 1 species